rnacentral:rRNA from 1 species
AUGGCUCAGAUUGAACGCUGGCGGCAGGCCUAACACAUGCAAGUCGAGCGGUAGCACAGAGAGCUUGCUCUCGGGUGACGAGCGGCGGACGGGUGAGUAAUGUCUGGGAAACUGCCUGAUGGAGGGGGAUAACUACUGGAAACGGUAGCUAAUACCGCAUAACGUCGCAAGACCAAAGUGGGGGACCUUCGGGCCUCAUGCCAUCAGAUGUGCCCAGAUGGGAUUAGCUAGUAGGUGGGGUAACGGCUCACCUAGGCGACGAUCCCUAGCUGGUCUGAGAGGAUGACCAGCCACACUGGAACUGAGACACGGUCCAGACUCCUACGGGAGGCAGCAGUGGGGAAUAUUGCACAAUGGGCGCAAGCCUGAUGCAGCCAUGCCGCGUGUGUGAAGAAGGCCUUCGGGUUGUAAAGCACUUUCAGCGGGGAGGAAGGCGGUGAGGUUAAUAACCUCAUCGAUUGACGUUACCCGCAGAAGAAGCACCGGCUAACUCCGUGCCAGCAGCCGCGGUAAUACGGAGGGUGCAAGCGUUAAUCGGAAUUACUGGGCGUAAAGCGCACGCAGGCGGUCUGUCAAGUCGGAUGUGAAAUCCCCGGGCUCAACCUGGGAACUGCAUUCGAAACUGGCAGGCUAGAGUCUUGUAGAGGGGGGUAGAAUUCCAGGUGUAGCGGUGAAAUGCGUAGAGAUCUGGAGGAAUACCGGUGGCGAAGGCGGCCCCCUGGACAAAGACUGACGCUCAGGUGCGAAAGCGUGGGGAGCAAACAGGAUUAGAUACCCUGGUAGUCCACGCUGUAAACGAUGUCGAUUUGGAGGUUGUGCCCUUGAGGCGUGGCUUCCGGAGCUAACGCGUUAAAUCGACCGCCUGGGGAGUACGGCCGCAAGGUUAAAACUCAAAUGAAUUGACGGGGGCCCGCACAAGCGGUGGAGCAUGUGGUUUAAUUCGAUGCAACGCGAAGAACCUUACCUGGUCUUGACAUCCACAGAACUUUCCAGAGAUGGAUUGGUGCCUUCGGGAACUGUGAGACAGGUGCUGCAUGGCUGUCGUCAGCUCGUGUUGUGAAAUGUUGGGUUAAGUCCCGCAACGAGCGCAACCCUUAUCCUUUGUUGCCAGCGGUUCGGCCGGGAACUCAAAGGAGACUGCCAGUGAUAAACUGGAGGAAGGUGGGGAUGACGUCAAGUCAUCAUGGCCCUUACGACCAGGGCUACACACGUGCUACAAUGGCAUAUACAAAGAGAAGCGACCUCGCGAGAGCAAGCGGACCUCAUAAAGUAUGUCGUAGUCCGGAUUGGAGUCUGCAACUCGACUCCAUGAAGUCGGAAUCGCUAGUAAUCGUAGAUCAGAAUGCUACGGUGAAUACGUUCCCGGGCCUUGUACACACCGCCCGUCACACCAUGGGAGUGGGUUGCAAAAGAAGUAGGUAG